rnacentral:rRNA from 1 species
UCUGGUUGAUCCUGCCAGUAGCAUAUGCUUGUCUCAAAGAUUAAGCCAUGCAUGUCUAAGUAUAAAUAGUAUACAGUGAAACUGCGAAUGGCUCAUUAAAACAGUUAUAGUUUAUUUGAUAGUGGAAGCCUACAUGGAUAACCGUAGUAAUUCUAGAGCUAAUACAUGCGUCCAAACCUGACUGAAUUGAAAGGUUGUAUUUAUUAGAUACGAAGCCAAUACCCUCUCGGGGGUGUUGUGGUGAGUCAUAGUAACUGAUCGAAUCUCUCACCUGAGAGAUAAAUCAUUCAAGUUUCUGCUCUAUCAGCUUUCGAUGGUAGUGUAUUGGACUACCAUGGCAGUCACGGGUAACGGAGAAUUAGGGUUCGAUUCCGGAGAGGGAGCCUGAGAAACGGCUACCACAUCUAAGGAAGGCAGCAGGCGCGUAAAUUACCCAAUCCUGACUCAGGGAGGUAGUGACAAGAAAUAACAACCCGGGGGAUUCACAUCCUUACGGGAUUGCAAUGAGAACAAUUUAAAUCACUUAACGAGGAUCAAUUGGAGGGCAAGUCUGGUGCCAGCAGCCGCGGUAAUUCCAGCUCCAAUAGUGUAUAUUAAAGUUGUUGCAGUUAAAAAGCUCGUAGUUGAACUUCUGACAGUGUGCAGUUUUGGUUUCUAUCAGGCUGCAUUGCUGUCAUCCGUCUGCAAACUCUGUUCAAUCUUCGCUGGUUGGCAGGGGGAGUAGACAUUUUACUUUGAAAAAAUUAGGGUGUUUCAAGCAGGUUAUUGCCAGAAUACUUUAGCAUGGAAUAAUGGAAUAGGACUCUUGUCCAUUUGGUUGGUUAUUGGACCAGAGUAAUGAUUAACAGGGACAGUUGGGGGCAUUAGUAUUUAAUUGUCAGAGGUGAAAUUCAUGGAUUUAUUAAAGACUAACUUAUGCGAAAGCAUUUGCCAAGGAUGUUUUCAUUAAUCAAGAACGAAAGUUAGGGGAUCAAAGACGAUCAGAUACCGUCCUAGUCUUAACUAUAAACGAUGUCGACUCGGGAUUGGAAAGGUUUCCAAUUAUCCUUUCCAGCACCGUAUGAGAAAUCAUUAAGUCUUUGGAUUCUGGGGGGAGUAUGGUCGCAAGGCUGAAACUUAAAGGAAUUGACGGAAGAGCACCACCAGGCGUGGGACCUGCGGCUUAAUUUGACCCAACACGGGAAAACUUAUUUCAGCAAAACAUGAGUGGGAUUGACAGAUUGAGAGCUCUUUCUUGAUUUUAUGGGGUGUGGUGCAUGGCCGUUCUUAGUUGGUGGAGUGAUUUGUCUGGUUAAUUCCGUUAACGAACGAGACCUUAACCUGCUAACUA